GUGAUCAAACGCACUGAAAACCCCCUCAAGGCCCACUAUUAUAAAUAUGGCGUUUGUUAAAGAGGAGAGCGAAGAAGCGUUCAGAGUCAAACGUGAAGAUACAGAGGAACAAAUAAAGAUUGUGUUCAUUAAAGAGGAGAGCGAAGAAGUGAAGAUGGAAGAAACAUUCAGAGGCAAACGCGAAGAAGCCGAGGAACAAACAGAGCUCAGAAGACUGCAAGUGCUUUCGUCUGCCAACAGUGCGGAAAGAGUUUUGGAAAAACGGAAACCUUAAAGUCCACAUGAGGAUUCACACCGGAGAGAAGCCGUACGCCUGUAAACAAUGCGCCAAGAGUUUCACGCGAACCGACAGCCUUAAGAGUCACCUGAGGACUCACGCCGGAGAGAAACCGUUCGCCUGUGGUCAAUGCGGAAAGCGUUUCCCACACAAAGCCACGUUUCACAAUCACGUGAGAAUUCACACCAGAGAGAAGCCUUACACCUGCCAACUGUGCGGAAAAACGGUGAACCGACAAGGGAAGCUCAAGAUUCACAUGAGAGUUCACACCGGGAGAAACCCUUCGCCUGCGAUCGCUGUGGAAAACGCUUCCCGUACAAAGAAAGCUUUAAUAAGCAUAUGAAGAUCCACUUAAGAGAGAGCUGUUUUGUAUGCCACCAGUGUGGGAUGAGUUUUGCAGGCAGGACUAAACUUAAGAGGCACGUAACGACUCACGUUGGACGGGAGCCUUUUAUGUGUCACGAAUGUGGAAAUGUGGAGUUUCAUGAAAAAAGCAAACCUCAGGACUCACAUGAGAGCUCACACUUGAGGGAAGAUUGUUUUACCCGCCAUAAAUGUAGAAAGCGUUUCAGACAUAAAUAAGUUUCUACCAAUGGUGUGUUGGCGGUCUUCCAUAACAAGGAGGUGAAUUUACUUCAAAUUCUUAUAGUCUGUUUUAUAUUUCUGUGUUAAAAUGUAUUUAUUAAAGCGAAGUAUGAAUCUCA